CAAUGACCAACAAUGAGGAAAAGGUUGUUGAUAUUACUGAACCUUCUCAAAGUAUCUUUUGGGAUAUCGUUUAAUUUCUUGUUUUAAUUAAACAUCUUGCAUGUAUAAUAUUAUUAGUUUUCGUUCUAUACGUGGUAUGUGUUUAUCAUGAAUAAAAUUAUAUAUUAAAUAUAACUUUUCUUAUUUAUGUUUUUAUAUGUGUCAGACCAUCUUUAAUGGAUAUGGAG
rnacentral:lncRNA from 1 species